rnacentral:rRNA from 1 species
AUUGAACGCUGGCGGCAGGCCUAACACAUGCAAGUCGAACGGUAACAGGAAACAGCUUGCUGUUUCUCUGACGAGUGGCGGACGGGUGAGUAAUGUCUGGGAAACUGCCUGAUGGAGGGGGAUAACUACUGGAAACGGUAGCUAAUACCGCAUAACGUCGCAAGACCAAAGAGGGGGACCUUCUGGCCUCUUGCCAUCGGAUGUGCCCAGAUGGGAUUAGCUAGUAGGUGGGGUAACGGCUCACCUAGGCGACGAUCCCUAGCUGGUCUGAGAGGAUGACAAGCCACACUGGAACUGAGACACGGUCCAGACUCCUACGGGAGGCAGCAGUGGGGAAUAUUGCACAAUGGGCGCAAGCCUGAUGCAGCCAUGCCGAGUGUAUGAAGAAGGCCUUCGGGUUGUAAAGUACUUUCAGCGGGGAGGAAGGGAGUAAAGUUAAUACCUUUGCUCAUUGACGUUACCCGCAGAAGAAGCACCGGCUAACUCCGUG